UUGCUCGCUUCAGCAGCACAUAUACUAAAAUUGGAGCAAUACAGAGAUUAGCAUGGCCACUGCGCAAGGAUGACACGUAAAUUCAUGAAGAGUUCCAUAUUUUA